ensembl:lncRNA
UAUAAAUUAGAGCAGGAGAAAUAUAGCUUUGGGGUUAAAUUAGUCACGUCAGCAGUCACGUGACGUUAGCUUGCCAGCGAGCAAUCAAACAGGGAACGUAGCUAAUUUUAUUCCGGUAAUUUCACCCAAUCCAGGUUCAACAUUUGGACAGGUUUUUGACGGUUUUUCACAGCUUGGGGAUACUUACCUUAUUACCCAGAAUACAAAGAGUGUCUUUCCACUUUUCCCCGCACUGUGAAUAGGAAUAGCAGAGAGCAGCAGCGGUGUGUAAUUUACUCAGAACGAGGGGAUCCACAGACCGAGGAGGCUCCUGCUUUCUGCACAGGCCGAGGCAGCGCGGCGCUGGAAGGAGUCAUCUCGGCUGUGUCCUUGUCAUCUCUACAUGAAUGGUGCCUUGGUCUGGAAGCACGAUGCCAGCUUGGCCCGGCGACAGGAAAGUGGAGUGGCGAGGAGAGGAGCGUUUGUCCUCGGCCGGUGGAGCUCAGAUGGGAGGCAGUGCUGCCUCUGGUUGGGACUGGGGAUGCUGAACGGGGGGAGGGAGGGCCUGUUUGAGCUGGGACAGCAGCUCCAGCAGCAGGGGGAGUACCAGGCCGCCCUCCACUGCUUCCUCAGCUGCCUGUUGGGACUGACCCAUGUGCAGAGCUUCACCUCUCUGCCCAACUGUCUACACCAGAUUGCAGAACUCUUCAUCACUGAAAAGAAUUAUGGGAAGGCCCUUCAGUUCAUCCAGGCUGAAAAAAUGUUCUACGAGGUGGCACUGAUAGAGCUCACCGCUCUCCAGGGGAGCACAGGGCCUCAGGAGGAGGCUAUGUUGGGCUCUGCAGGAUGGGCCACCCCAGAGGAGCUUUCAGAGCAGGCCUCCCAGGCACAGCACCUCGAACGGCUGGCCCAGCUCUGCAUCAUGAGCAAACGGCCUCAUCUUGCUUUAGAAUACAGUGGUAAGGCCACUAAGAUCCACCAGAGGGCCUUUGGUAAUGACCACCCAAUAACAGCCCGGAGCCUGGAGCUUUUGGCCACUGUCUAUGCUGAGAUUGGCAAGACUGAAUAUUCAGACUCCCUGGGUCAGUGUGUGUCCGCGCUGUCCAAACGGUUUGCUGCUGCCGAGUCCGUCAAAGACACCGUCAACUGUCUUCCUCAUUCCCACCGGGAGAAACACUCAGAGGUCCGCCACCGGAAGGACACCCACCACCAACAGGAGGAUACACUGAGACCCAAGGUAACCAAUGGUAAAGUCCCCACCUCCAUACUAAAGAGGCCCGGCCCCAGCUGUGGGUCAGACACAGAACCCGCUCACAGACGGAAGGGCGAGCGCAGGGUUCGAUUCAGGGAGCCAGAGACCACUGUACAUGCCUACGAGACGACACCGACUCGCCCCCACCUUGCCCUCUUCACCUGCCUCUUCCUGCUGAUGUCAUUCCUGGGCGUGGCCAUGUACUGCACAGACCGCCGGCGCCCACAGCGGGUGUGUGAGGAGCUCGAGGCCUCGCUGGCCAUCUACCUACUGCAUAUGAAGCAGCUUCUCUGGGGCUGCUGGAUAUGGCUGACAAUGCAGUGA